AUCCCCUCCCUCCGCUCCUCGCCCGCGGCUGCCGCCCGGCCCCGACCACAGAGGGGACACCGAGCGAGUUUCCUGCGCGCUGCUGCCCUCGUUAUACCCGUAACCUGCCUCCCAGGGAGAGGGCCUUCUCAUUGUUAUUCCACAUUUUUUUUUUUAAACAGCUAUUUAUUUCUUUUCCUUGCCUAAACUUUGCGAUGACGUCGUGCCGUGUCAAAAGCGAUGAUUAAAGGAUGCUGUCCUACCUGCUAACUCCAAGUACUCGAGAGCUCAGGACUGGCACUGACAGUGGAACUGCUCACAGAUCCCAGACAUGGAUUUGCAAAACCACACAGCAGAAAUCAGAGCUGUAAAUAAAUUUGUUUAACCUGCAGAGGUGCAUAUACACGCA